rnacentral:misc_RNA from 1 species
UUGGUGCAUGCAGCGGUUAGAAGAUAAUCGCAGCGAUCGUUUAGCGGGUUAAAAUAUUAAUCCUUGAAUAUAAUCGAUCAGUAAUAAGGUAGCUGCGAUUCGUGAUGUUCGUGGCGGGGAUGUACAGGCUGCUGAUGAAUACCGUGAAGACGAUUAUGAUUGUGCAUAGGUUGAUGGAGAUUGUGAUGCGGCGAUUGAUGACCUCUAGAAAAUUGACCCCCGGGAGACGAAGAUGUCGAAGAUGAUCCCGAGGUGCUGCAAUUGUUUGUCGUCAACAUCGGCGUGCCACCACCUUGAAUCGCGAAUGGCCAGGACUGCGAAUGAAAAGAAUUCUGGUACAAAUAUUCGGGUAAACGAGACGGGCUGUAUUAUUAGAAACGGAGUAAUGGAAGAUGAAAAAGAAAUCGUAAUGUACGUAUAACGGAACUGGAUGCAUAGCGUGUCUUUUCAAAACUUCUACGAUGCUGAAAACUAAUGCGGGAUAUAGUCCAACAACGGAACUAUAUCGGAGUUAAUGGGGCGAGGGAGAGACCGCGACGGUGUGAUCCGGUCCACCUGGAC